UUUGUGCAGUCAUACACUACAUGACAGCGGUUUCACCAUAGCGAUUGAGAAAUAGCAUUACUGUAUCGAAACAUCAAUGACACUCCCGUAACCUUCUGUAUGUUGCCGUCUUCAUUCUCAUCAUUUUGCCUUUGAAACUGACUGGCCUGCACAGGGAUCGGAUUAACUUCGUGUAGCACCUUCUAGGAGAGGAGGAGCGCUAGCUACACACUAAAACGAAAGGUUAACAGAGGAGGGGACCAUUCUGGAACGUCAUUCCUCGAUGCAUUCCUAAUUCGCGUGCUGUUAGCCUUUCAUCAGGCCAAAUGGAGGACUUGGAUGUGGACCAGGUGACCCUGGCAUUGCUGGAUGCGGCUAAUGAUAAAGACUCAUUAGUGCAGGAGCAGGUGCGGAAGUCCAUACUAACUCUGGGCAACCAGCAGCCAGAGAGGGUCCUCUCCAUGUGCCAGGACUACCUAGUGAAGCAUCCUAAGCUGAUUGUUGGACACAGAGUUGUCAUCCUGCAGACUAUUGAGCUGGUGGUGAAGAGCAAGAUCGAUGAGAUCAGUUACCCUAAAAUCAAGAGCACCAUUUCUCUGGCCUCAGAUGAAAUGACCAGGUCAAAGGAGGUGGUUCCAGAUUGGCAGCAGGCAGCUAGCAACAUACUGGUUGCAGUUGGUAACAAACACAUCAAUGACAUAAUGGAGGAGAUCCUAAGCAAGUUCCAGCCAGGGGUCCUGCCACAUUUCUUUGUGGUCCAAACAUUAGCCAGUCUCUCUGAUUCUAAUGUUUACGGAAUGGUUCCCUUCCUCAAUGCCAUCCUGGGGACUAUGCUGCCUAUGCUGGGCAUGGCUAAACAAGACAAUAUGAAGUGGGUGUUCUCCUCUGCACUCUCGCACUUCAGUGAGAGCAUUCUGGAGUACCUCGCCAACUUGGACAAGGCCCCGGAUCCCACCGUGCGCAAGGACACCUUCUCCAGCGAGAUCUACGCCUCCUAUGACAUCCUCUUCUCCAACUGGCUCCAGAGCCGCGAGUCCAAGCUGCGGUUGACUGUGGCGGAAGCGCUUGGUCCCAUGAGCCACCUGAUGGCACACGAUAAGCUGGAGGAGCAGUUGCCCAAACUCCUACCCACAAUCCUCUCUCUCUACAAGAAGAACCCCGAGCAUUACAUCAUCAGCAAGAGUCUGUGCCAGGUUCUAGAUGCUUCCGUGAGCAUGGGGAGCCGGGUUCUGGAGACUCAGCUGGACAGUCUGCUUCAGGCUCUGCACCAGCAGAUUUGUGCGCCCAUUGACUACAGCAACCCUCCCACUGUGAAGAACCACAACGAGAUCUUACGAUGCUACAGUAUUCUAGCCAACACCUUCCCUGACAGGCUGCUGGUGUUUGUUCUGCAGAAACUGGAGAACAGCAACGAGAGGAACCGUGUGGGUUCUCUGGCGGUCCUCAGACACCUCAUCAACUCCUCCACGUCCAUCAUGGAAAGUAAGAAGCUGCUCAUCCUGGCCAGCAUCCGCCAGCCCCUGGCAGACCACAGCAAUAAGGUGAAGAAAAUGGUUGUCCAGGUGAUCAGCGCCAUGGCUCACCACGGCUACCUGGAGCUGGACGGAGGAGAUCUGCUCGUGCGCUUCAUCGUCCAGCACUGCGCUCUCCCCGACACGUACUACCGUGGGCAGCGUCCCGCCGACCCUGAGGAGGUGACCAAUGAGGCCCUGCGGAGCAUGUGUGACAACACCCUGCACCUGUUCACCACCACAGUGGGGCGGCUGACUGACGUGUUAUGGCCAAUGCUGAUUGGCUACUUGACUCCGGGACUGUAUUCCAACGCCACCACGCCCCUCUGCAAGAGCCUGAUCCUGCUAGCCAAUAAGAAGCGAGCCGCCCAGGAUCCCAACUUCACCAUCGACUUCAGCGCCCCAGGCACCCACCUGCCCUCGCCAUACGUCCUGAUGACCCGGCUCCUGGUGAACGCUGCCUUCCCGCUCCGCUCCCGUGGCCACGGCGCCCCGUCCCUGAGCCUGCUGAACGUGCUCUCGCCCAACAUCCACCCCAACGCCGAGCAGCUGUGGGACAAGGCCAUCCCCCCGCUCCUGGCCCAGCUGGACGAAUCCUCGUCUGACACUAUAGACAAGUACAACUGGGAAGAUGGGAUACUGCAGCUCUUGUCCAAAACUCUGGUGGCCAUAGCUGAUGACAAGUGGAGCUGUCAGCUGGCCACUGAAGCGACGCGUUAUCUGUCUACCUACAACCACUCCCUGGAGGAGAAGAGUUUCCUGUACAGGUUCAUAGGGGUGACCCUUCAGCAGUGCUACAACAGAGAGCUGGUCAAGAAGCAGCUGCAGGAGGUGCUCGUCAGCGUGCGUCACCAUGACGCCAUUGAGAGAGAGGGAGUUGCAAUGGGAGUCGGGCUUUGUGCCAGCAACCAUCUUGAUGCCACUCUGGCGAAGCUGGACGAGUUCGGGAAAUCUGAUGCCUUCAAAAAAUCCUCAGGGAUCUUCGGUCUGCUCAAAGACAAGAACGAGGUGGACACGGAGAAGAUGAAGAGCACCCUGAUCCUGUGCUACGGCUACGUGGCCCUGAACGCCCCCGAGGACCAGAUCCUCGGCCACAUCGACGGCCAGAUCCUCAAGAGCAUCAGCAAGCACUUCAACACUAAGGUUCUGGGGAUUAAAGUAGAGACCAAGGACAUGACCAUGAAGAUGAGUCUGAUCCAGAGUGUGGGUCUCAUAGCCAAGGCCAUCAGCGCGUGUGUGCGUCGACAGAGCUACCUGUUCGCACGCAAGCAGGAGCUGUUGGGAGUGAUGAUGGACUUUAUCAAAGCAGAGCCCACAGAAGCGAUGAGGACACCUGUGCGCCACCUCGUCAUGACCACGUGUGCCAACCUGGUUAACCUGGACCCUGCGCUGACGGAGAACGAGAACUUUGAGCUGCUGCGGACCUGCGUGAGCAGCGUGUACUGCCUGCCUGCGGUGGACGCGCCGGACAAGGGCAAAGAUGACGAGGUCCUGGACCCUCAGCAGCGGGAGGUCUUGUACUCGGAGACGUUCAAAGCGCUGAGUGACCUGCUGCGCAGCGUGCUGGCGCGUGACCUGAGUCCAGAUGGACUUCAGACCGUCUUCAAGCACAUAGAGGGAUGGUUGAGUUCCGGGCAGGACCACGAGCGAGAGAGGGCGAUCCUGACCACGCUGGAGGUCCUGCAGUUCUACUUGGAUAGUCUCAGUGUGAAGAACAUGGUGACGUUCCACAACCUGGGCGCUCUGCUGGGCCGGCUGGCCCCGCGCUGCACUGACCCGGUGUCUCUGGUGCGCCGGGCGGCCGUGGACUGCAUCUACACCCUGCUGCACAUCCAGCUGCGCUACGAGGGGUUCUCCCUGGACUACCGGGAUGAUUCAGUGGAGGGCCUGAUCAGCCUGCGGGAGCGACUGGACAACCCUGACCACUCCGUUCUCUAUAAAACCUGCUCCGAGCUCACCAAGAUCAUCAGUAAGCGCCUGCCGCAGCAGCAGCUGAGCACGCUGCUCUUCAUGCUGUUUGAGGGCCUGGUGGACUCCCAGUCCAACUGCUCCAGGGCCUCCAGCGUCAUCCUCAACACCCUGAUGAAGAACCGAGGGGCCAGCCUGCAGGACCUGGUUCCCGAGGUCCUGGAGGUGCUUCACAUGAGGCUGCAGGUGAUCUCCGAGGAUCAGGUGAAGGUGGCCGUGGCCCAGUCCAUCCUCAUCCUCGCCACGCAGCACCUGCAGACCGUGGUCAGCACGCUCAUCUCCUACCCACUGCCCUUCGACAGCUGGAGCUGUGAGAUGUGGAUCGCCCUCGGGGCGGACAGCAGCAUCGCCUCGCGGAUCAUGGAGAUGAUGAUCGAGAAGCUGAACACGAUGGCGCCGUACGUGGACAAGAAGGAGUCCAUGAUGAGGCCCGGCCUCACCAAAGUAGCCACCAGCCAGCCGCUAGCCAUGACGUGCGCGCUGCGGGAGCUGAUGCUGAACGGUCAGACGGUGGAGGCGGUGGCGUCGCUGUUCCCGGCGCUGUUCAGCGCGCUGCUGCUGCGCGUGGGCUCCAGCGUGGCCGUGCAGCUGCCCAAGGACAUCAACAGCAACAGCAUCGGCCCCGACAGGAAGGGCCCCUCCAAGAGCGCCGCCGCCGCCUUCGACGUCUGCGGGGUGGCGGUGGAGGCGCUGCGGAUCCUGCUGGCCCGUGCCCAGCUGGAGGAGGUGGUCAAGCCGCUGGACCAGGACGGCGCCUGGGAGAAGAUGAAGGACCCCCAGCAGCACAUAGAGGGCAUCACUCUCCUGUCCAGAGCCAUGGCCAAGCAUGCGGGGCCUCGUCUCCCUGCCAUCGUGGAGGCCUUGUGUCCCUCCCUCAACAACAUCUACGAGUGCCAGAGGAUCGCCGUCACUGCCUUCUUUGCUGAGCUGCUGAACCACCACGUGGUGACGGAGCUGAUGAUGAUGGACCUGCUGAUGAACAACAUGAUGGAGCGCAUCUCGGAGCCCUGCUGCACCGUGCGCAUGCUGGCACUGCGCGGCCUGGGCAACAUCGCCGUGGGCUCCCCAGAGAAGGUGAAUAAAUAUGCCAAGGAGCUGUUGGCAGCCAUGAGUGCUGGGAUGGAGGAGAAGGACGACCCCGGCAAGCACAUCACGCUGGAGGCCAUGUCCGGCCUGUCCAAAGUGCUGCUCUACCUGGACCAGAAGAACGUCCACCUACUGGUGGUCUACAUCUUCAUGAAGAUCAAGCCCUUCCUGGAGAACGAGAGUGAUGAGAUCCGCUGUGCUGCCAUCAUGCUCCUGGGGAACCUGUCCAAGUUUGGCUCGGGAGAGCCCGUCUUCAAAGACCAGAUCCACAACGUGCUGGUCAGCAUGCUGCUGCACCUGUGUGACCCAAGCCAACAGGUGGUCAAGGCCUGUAAGUACUCCAUGAGGGUGUGUGCUCCACUGGUGGGCUCCGAGCAGAUCACCACCAUGUUCCAGAAGCACCUGCACGAGGACAAAGGCUUGCACUACGGCGAGUUCGUCAACGACCUCACCAAAUACCUAAUCCAGGACUUCCCCAACAUGCUGAACUUCUACCACAACACCGUCGUGCAGUUCUUCAAAAGCAACUGGGCUGAUAUCCGCGCUAGUGCCGCCAUGUUUAUCGGCUUUCUCUUGGGGAAUCUUCCAGAGGACCUCUUCAUCCACAUGAACAUGGCAAACAUAACUAGGGGCCUGGUGAUGCUGUUGCAGGACCCUGACCCUAUGGUGCGAGCCAAGGCAGCAGAAGCCAUGGGCCACUUCCACUGACCACCCUGCCCCUGCCAUUUAGAGCAGCUGCUGGGAGCCAGCGGGGGGGAGGCAGUGCCAGCCAUGGCUCCAGUGUCUGUGAUGUCUCUGUCCCAGGAUGCAUGAAGCUGAGGAGAGGUGAACAAUAUGAAGUGAUGAA